UCUGGCUCAGAUUGAACGCUGGCGGCAGGCCUAACACAUGCAAGUCGAACGGUAGCACAGAGAGCUUGCUCUCGGGUGACGAGUGGCGGACGGGUGAGUAAUGUCUGGGAAACUGCCCGAUGGAGGGGGAUAACUACUGGAAACGGUAGCUAAUACCGCAUAACGUCUUCGGACCAAAGUGGGGGACCUUCGGGCCUCACACCAUCGGAUGUGCCCAGAUGGGAUUAGCUAGUAGGUGGGGUAAUGGCUCACCUAGGCGACGAUCCCUAGCUGGUCUGAGAGGAUGACCAGCCACACUGGAACUGAGACACGGUCCAGACUCCUACGGGAGGCAGCAGUGGGGAAUAUUGCACAAUGGGCGCAAGCCUGAUGCAGCCAUGCCGCGUGUAUGAAGAAGGCCUUCGGGUU
rnacentral:rRNA from 1 species